AGACAUCCAAGGCCUGCGCUCCCUCCUCUGCUCACUGCAACAGCCAAUGUAAAGGGUAAUAUAAUCACCAGCAGCUGAGAGACAAUGACAUUUUUAUAGACCUUCUGGCAACACUGGAGUGUGAAAGAGCCUGACAGGUAUUCAGGAAGGAUUUCCUACUCACCUCCCUUCCUACGGUAGUGAUGGUUCCCUCUCGAAGCCAGACGUGGAAAUCUCAUC
rnacentral:lncRNA from 12 species